GUAGACGUUAGCUCAGUGGUUAGAGCACAGGCCUCUGGCUCUCGGGUCCCGCGAGUUCGGGUCCCGUCGUCUACU
rnacentral:tRNA from 1 species